UUGAUAAAGACUAGAGAGUAAGAGAGUAAGUAAGCAUUGAUGCAAAUGAGAUGGUGUGAUCUUGCUUACCCGGGGAAGAACAUGAAGACGAACAUGAACUGUAAAUACAUCUCGAAGAACUUCCUUCUGUACCAUCUUACUCUUAGCCAGUUCAUGAUGAUUGGCUAACACAAACCAUAGUAUAAUAUAUAAGCUCCACACUCAUAAUCAUGAAUCAUCUAAAUCUUUGAAAAUACAAUGUAUGUGUCCUCAAACUUACUGGCAUUACUAGGAAGUACCAAACGGAUAUGAUCCCGAUAUCGAGCACAACACUGCUCAAUUCCUGCUGGUUGUUAACUCCUGUUAUUGCUAAGGCUGGAUGGUCAAUCUGAAAAACUAACGAUUUUCGAUUACUGACCACUGUUGUCUCAUAGUUUCGAUAGUGAAUAAAGGUCUCGUAUGUUCUUACCGUGGCAAGAACUGCCCCGAGUUGAGCUGCCAAGAUUGUCUUCUUUGCUCCAAGUAUAUCACAGGCCUUUGCUCUCAUCUUGUUAACAUUCUGCAGUGAACAAUAAUAAGUCACGGUGAAGAAGCAGAGAGUUUUCUGCAGAUUCAUGUUGAUUGGUUGUACACUUAGCUAAGGUAGAGAAGUCUUACAUGAAGAAGAGUGUCGUUGGGUUUGGUGUGAGAUGUAAUACAGAAAGGAGAUUUGACACUGCGUGGCUUCAAGGAGAGAGAUGGCAAAGCAUUUGGGGCAUAGAGCCCAAGAGAGCCGCACCGGCUCAUCUCUAUGUGUCUGUUGUUCUUGUUUUUGGUUGUGAAGUUUCCUUAUCUCUUGAGAUUGGUUCUAAUGGCAGAGACUUCUAGGAUUACUUUUGUCUGAAUCACAUAAAUUCCACGUGUCAUAAGGAGGUCCCACGUUUGAUUUUGGCAUAUAGUGUUUUAUUUCAAGAAAAUGAAAUAAAAACGAAUAAUCUCAUUCCAAAUUCCACAUG